rnacentral:lncRNA from 1 species
CACACAACUUCUUUGAAUUUCUACUUUGGAAUUUUAUUUUUCUUUAAUUAUAAUCAUGGCAGCAGAGAAGAGCAAAAUCCUAGUCCUAGGAGGAACAGGUUACAUAGGAAAAUUCAUAAUUGAAGCAAGUGCAAAAGCAGGACAUCCCACGUUUGCUUUGAUUAGGGAGAGCACAGUUUCUCAUCCUGAAAAAUCAAAGCUUAUUGAGAGCUUCAAAACCUCUGGAGUUACUUUACUUUAUGUAUGUAUCUUUCAAUCACUAUUAAUUUAUUUAUUUUCAUACAUAUUUAUUUAAUUAUUUCAAAGUUCAAAUAAAUAUUCUAAUAUCUAUUUCUCAUUUUGAUUCUAUAGGGUGAUCUGGGUGAUCAUGAAAGUCUUGUUAAGGCAAUUAAGCAAGUUGAUGUAGUUAUUUCAACACUUGGUGGAGCACAAGUUGAUGACCAAGUUAAGCUCAUAGCAGCAAUAAAGGAAGCAGGAAACAUCAAGGUACAAAUUGGUCUUAUUUUUCACUGAAUUAAAAUAGCUAUGUACUUGAAUUAGCUAUAUAAAUUGGUGUUAUUUUGUUCCUAUCAGAGGUUUCUCCCAUCUGAAUUCGGGAUCGACGUUGACCGUCACCAUGCUGUUGAGCCGGUAGCUAGCUUUUUUGGGCAAAAAGCAAAAAUCAGAAGGGCAAUUGAAGCUGAAGGAAUUCCUUACACUUAUAUUUCCUCUAACGCCUUUGCCGGAUACUUCCUCCCUACAUUAGGACAACAAAAUGUCACAUCUCCUCCCCGCGAUAAAGUGGUCAUUCUUGGAGAUGGAAAUGUCAAAGGUAACAUCUUACAAAAUCUUUUCAAAACAUUUUUUUUUUCUACAUGGACAUACUCGAUUACCUGUUAAAAUUGUACAUUUGAAAUUCGUGUUUUAGGAGUUUAUGUCACGGAGGAAGACAUCGGGACUUAUACCAUUAAAGCAGUGGACGAUCCAAGAACCUUGAACAAAGUUGUAUACUUUAGGCCUCCUGCCAAUGUUUUGUCUUUCAACGAACUCGUCUCAUUGUGGGAGAAUAAAAUUAAGAGCACCCUCGAGAAAAUUUAUGUUCCAGAGGAUCAACUUCUUAAGAGCAUUCAAGGUUAGUACGAACAAUCUUUUUUUAAUGAAAAUAUUUAUGAUAGCAAUACCUUAAAACAAUUUAAUGUGUAACAUAUAUCAUAUGUUAUACUUAUGCUAUAUGAAUUUUUUUUCUUCUAUGCAGAGUCUCCUUUCCCUGCAAACUUAAUGUUGGCAUUAGGUCACUCCAUGUCAGUAAAAGGAGAUUGUACAAAUUUUGAGAUUGAACCUUCUUUUGGUGUGGAAGCUUCUGAAAUUUAUCCUGAGGUGAAAUACACUACGGUCGACAACUACUUGAAUGCAUUUGUUUGAAGCCAAAACAAACCUCUUCACCAAAAUAAAGCCAAAACAAGUGUAGUAUUGGUCAAAUUUUCAUAUUUUGUGUUUAUGAAUUAUGUUAACCAUUUGUGUUUGUUUCAUCGUCAAAAGAAUCCUUUCACAUUUUGCUUUGUAAUGAUCGAUUUACCAUGUACUGAGUUAAAGUUCAGAUAAUGAACAUCUAUUAGGAUAUGAGUAUCACUAUGCUAAUGCUUACAUGUACAUUUUCAAUGAUUAGAUGUAUGAUGGCAAUGAUGCUAAAUCAUAUAUAUCUAUACCAAUAGUAACAAGUAAAGUCCGUAUCUUUUUAUUUAUGCAAUUAAGUUUGAAUUACUUAGAUGAAAAAUAAAUAGUUGGAAUAACUUUUGUUAUCAUUAGUAAAUUGCAACGAAAAAUUAACGCAAAAACAUACUCCAAUAUUCUUAAAUUAAAUAUGUUCAUGGCUAAUAAUAUCAGUUUUUUUAUUUUUCAAAAAAAAUAAUAAUAAUAUCAGUUUUCGAUUAUUACCACCCUUAUCUUCGAAUAAUGAAGCUGUGGUAAACAAAAAAGACAAAGAAAAAUGAAAUAACACGAUAAAAUAUAAAAAUACAACGUAAAAACUUCAAAGACGAGAAAAAUCCACGACAAUUGUCUAAAAAAUUGUUACAAUGUGUAGACUAUCUUCAACCACCCCAUGACCUCAAUACACACAUACGCUCCAAAAAAAACAUCUAACCUACCCCUUACACAGGAGAAAGAAUAAUGUACAAUAUAAACUUAAAGUGUUUCUGACCGAUGCAUUUUAUAAUGAAGAAUUAGAGCUCAUAUAUAUAUAUAUAUAUGAGAUUUGCUAGAACACGCUAGUUUUUAUGUGGGAGUGUUUUAGCAAGUUACACUUUAAGGUGUAUUUAACUUACUUUUUAGUUAUAACUUGCUAAAACACACAUUCUAAAAAAUAAGUGGGUGUAUCCUAGCAAAUGCCUAUAGGAGUUGCUAACAUACACCCACUUAUUUUUAGGAGGUGUGUUUUAGCAACAUUCACCUUAAAGUGUAUUUAACAACUUUUUAGUUAUAUCUUUGCUAAAACACACCUUAAUAAAAACUAGUGGGUGUAUCCUAGAAAACCCAUGUGUAUAUAUAUAUAUAUAUAUAUAUAUAUAUAUAUAUAUAUAGCAUUGGUCUCCUUUUUCCUUUACAAUUCUAAGAAAUAUGGAUCUUCUUCCACAUAUAUAUUUCCAAUCAACACCAAUAAUCUCUAUCUUAAUUUAAAAUGGUACAUCUACUUCCAUUCUUUCUCCGACGAUUAUAGUUCAAAAAAACUGUCAUACUCCACCAUAAAGACUAUAGUCGCAUGAAGCUAAACCACAUCAAGAAUUUUAACAUUGUCUUUAGUGACGAUCAUACUUCAAAAGAGUUAUCAUACUAAGGUAUCGAAGAAUUUUAACACAUGUAUAUUGCUUGAUUAUUAAAUUACUUAUUAAAUCCUUACACCUGUUAAUAAAAUAUACAAUAUUUUAUUAACUUUUUUUAAAAGAACUUAUUCAAAUUUAAUUUUUUAUUAUUAUAGAGUACAUAGUGUAAAUUUGUUGAUUCAUACUCAACAACCUUACACCUCAUGUUUCCCUUGCAAAAUCCCACCCAUUGAAUAUUAAAUUCAUGAAUAUAUGGCUUCUUAAUAGACUUUUAUAUGGGUACACAAAUUUAAUAAUUUGCACACCCUAAAAACCAAAUUGAUAAGUUGGUUAAUAGGGUGUUCAUGGGUUGGGUCAACCCAUAAAAUCCAAUCAAACUCACUCAAGGAACCCAAAAAAAAAAGGGUUGGGUUGGGUAAUUGGAUGGGUAUGGAAAACCUAUAAAAAUAAAUGGAUUUCGGAUAAAAUCAGACCCAAACCCAAAAAACUCAUUUAUCCAAUAAUGUUAAUAUUUUUUAUCUUUAUUUCAUAGUAGAAGAAAAUUAUAUUUCCAAAACAUACACAUUGUACCCAAUAUAUUGAAAAUCAAAACAUAUUAUAGUUACAAAUUAAGAUGUUGUAUUUUUUGGUUAUUUUGAUACUAAUGCAAUUUUAUGUCAUGCAACUUUAAUUUGUUGCAAGUAUUUUAUGAUGGAGUUUAUUAUUUGAUAUUCUAUGAUGGAUAAAAUUAUAGUAAAAAUAAGUUAAACAUUUUUUUUAAGAAAAUUAAAAAGUAGAGUAAUAUUUAAUUUUUUUUAUAAGGAAUUGUCAUUUAGUCAUUUAAUAUUAAAAAAUAGAAAAAAUAAGUUGGGUAACCCACUACCCAAUCCAACCCAACCCAAAAACUAGUGGGUUUGCCCAACCCAACCCAAAAAUUAGUGGGUUUGCCCAAACCCACCCAAUGGUAUAUCAGGUGAUUAUUUUACCUCACCUAAACCUAUUUGGUUCGGUUUUGGGUUUGGCCAAACCCAACCCAAACCCUAUUGGUUAAUACUCCCUCCGGUCCUAUUUACAAGAAACAAUUUACUUUUUAGAUACAUUAAAUAAUUUAUAUAUUUGGUUUAGAUUCUUGACUAGAUACAUACAUUAUUCAAUGUAUCUAAAAAGUGAUCUUUCUCUUGUAAACAGGAUCGGAGAGAGUAUAAAACAUACUUAAUGAUAAAAGAAAAAAAAACAAAGACGGAAAGUCGCAUUUAGGUAUAUCUUUAUAAUUUUAAUAUAUUUAAGAACUAUUGUGAAAAUAUUUCACACAGUUAAAAAUUUAAAAUUUUGGAUCUGUAUGGGCACAACUUUUUUAUCUAUUCAUUAUCAUUUAGAUAUACUAUAAUUUGUAUCUAUGAGAAUUGGCUACGGUGUUAAAUUCCAACAUUGCAAUCUUUCAUUCUUAAAUUCCAACAUUGCAAUCUUUCAUUCUGUUUUCUUUUCAAGUGAGCAUCAAUUGCAUCAUCAUGAAGCUCAAAUAAUCAUUCUUGAUCAAAAAUAAUAAUAAUCAUUGUUCAUAAUAUUUAUUUGGGGUGUUUGCGGUGCGGUUUGGAUCGAUUAUUAGGUAAAAUGCCAUCCAAUCUAAAAUAAAAAUCAAUGUGGUUCGGUUUGAAUGACUAUUCUAAAAAAAUCUGAACCGAUCUCAUCCAAAUAUAUGCGGUUUAAUUUGGAUUGAUUUUGGGAUAUCCAAAAUGAUUCGAAAUCUGAUUAUAGCGGUUUUUACAAAACAACAUUCAAGCGCAUCCAAAAAUAUUUGAUUUUUUAGAUCGAUUUACGGUUUUAUUUCGGAUUGGUUUGGAUUUGAACAUCCUACUUCUUGAAAAUUGAACAAAGUCUUCAUUUGAGCACUCCGCCUUUUCUAAUUUUUACCAGAGUUUUAGGACUAUGUAGGGAAAUUGUUAAUGGCUGCCCAUCACCUAAUUUCACUUGUGACGGAUUUAUGUUUAAGAACAUGACUCGUAAUGUCUCUGUUUUUUUUUUAGAGAUCAUAAUGUCAUGCUUGAUCACGUAAAAUAUAAAAAGAAAAAAUAUAUGCUUGAUUAUCAACUUGAUACUAAAUGCCUAAAGUGAAGUCAAGAUUUUUAUCAUAAAAAAAAAAAAAAAAAGUUGAAUUCAAGACCAUGUUUUACACUACCGACCCUCCCUAGCCGUCGGUCAAAAAAACAAGCACUUACUUACGUCAUGAGGUUUUUUUUUCUUUUCAAAAGACUUUUCUAAUUUCUUUGGUGUUUCUAUGAAACACGAUAAUGAUUUUUCUUCUUCUCGAAGUAUGACUACGAUUAAUGCUGCAUUUUAACAAAUUGAGAUGGGGUGUAUUGAAUUAGGAUUUUAAAAGACUAUUUUAUUAAAAAAAGUCUUUAAGAUUUUAAAAGACCGUGUGAGAUUGUAUUGAUUCUGUGAGAUUUUAAAAGAUUUUUUAUGUAAAAGACUUUAUACACUCAAGAUUUUAAAAGAUUUAUCACACUGACUUUAAAGAAUUUCAAAGGAUUUUAUAUGAUUUUAAAAUUUCAAAGGAUUCAAUGAAUUUUAGGGGAAAAAGAACAAACUUACAAGCGUGAAUGAUAAAAAUCUCAGAGAGGGGAUGAGAGAUGAGAGAGAGAGAGAGAGAGAGAGAGAGAGAGAGAGAGAGAGAGAGAGAGGAGAAUGGAGAGAUAGAGAAACGAAGAGAGAAAUGAGAGAAUAGGGAGGGAGAGGGAGAGAGGGAGAGAAAGGAGAAGAAAGAGAUAUUAACUUUUAAAAGAAAAACAAUUUCAAGAAAUCUCUUCUUUUCAUGAAAGACUUUUUCUUGUUAAAAUUACACUACAAAAUUCCACAAAAUCCAUCAAAAUCCAAUUUAUUAAACAAUCCUUCGAAAUUUGAAUGAUUUUGAAUAUCGCAAGACUUUUUUUAAGUGAUGAAAAGUCUUGAUUGAAUACCUCAAGACUUUUUUAAAAUGACAAAGAGUCUUGAUUGAGGGUGUGUUUGGUAAAAAAAAAGCUAUAAGCUAGCUGAUAGCUGAUAGCUGAAAAGCUAGCUUAUAGUUGAUGGCUGAUAGCUGAUAGCUUAUAGCUGAAAAGUUAGCUCAUUAAAAUUAAAAGUGUUUGGUAAAAUUAGUUGUUGAAGUGACUAUAAAUAUAAAAUGACAUAAAAGGACGUGCUUGUUUAAUUUUUUUUCUAAUAUCAUAUAUACAAUUUUUAUUACUUAACACAUUUAUUUUUAAAUAUUUAAAUAUAUUUCAAAUUAUUUUCAUCUCCAAAAUAAUAAAUGUAUUUAUGAAUUCAAUCGAACUUUUUUAUUUAACAAUUUUAUUUUAUUUUUAUGAAUUUUAUUUAACUAAACUUGCUUCACUAUUAUAAAUUCUAUAUAAAAUUAUAUAUUAUAUGAAUUAUGAGCAAAGUAAAAAAAAAAACAAAAAAAGUGGACAAGAAAAUUUAAAAAGUCAUAUAUGAUAAACAUGGUUAGUUUAAGAAGAUAGUGGAUAGUUUUUUUUUAUUAUAAUAAAAUAAAAUAAAAUUAAGAAAAGGUUAAAAUUGGAAGAAAGUAUAAAAAGCUACAAGCUAUAAGCUAAAAAGCUACAAGCUAUAAGCUAAAAAGCUACUUGGAUUAGCUUCUUAAAAAACGCUAUAAGCUAAUGAGAAAAGCUUUUUACCAAACACAUCUCAUUUUAUCAAAACAAGCUUAUAAGCUAGCUUUUUUGUGUUACCAAACACAGCCUGAAUAUCACAAGACUUUUUUUAAGUUGCAAAAAGUCUUGAUUGAAUACCACGAGACUUUUUCAUAAUAAAAAAGUCUUUUAAAAUCCUAUAGAAUCCUAAUCCAAUACAAAGAAUCUAUAUAAAAUAAACAAAAUACGUUUUAUUAUUUUUUAAGUUUGACAAAAAUAUCGGAAUAGUCUUGUUAAGCUUUAAAUAAGUCUUUAAGUUUUUUUUUUUUUAGUUUCAAUAGGUCCUUUAAGUUUUUUUAAAUUUCAAAUAUAUCAUUUUAAAUUGUUAAUUUAAUGCACUUAUUUAAAGUUUUUAAAUGGGUAAUAAGGACCUAUUUAAAAAUUGAAAAACUUAAACAACUAACUGUAUAUUUUUGUCAAAUUUAAAGAAUCAAAAGAGGUAUUUCACCUAUAAAAUAUAACAUUUGUCCUAUUUUUAAAUAGGGUUAAUUAAGUUUUUAGUGCCUAUAAAUAUUCACAGUUUUGUUUUUAGUUCCUACAAAAUAAAAUCACACUUUUUAGUCCUUCUGACAUUUUAGAGACCAAAACUGUUGAUGAAUUUUUUUUUACAGGGACUAAAAAUGGUGAUGGAAAAUUUUAUAGGGACUAAAGUGUGAUUUUAUUUUGUAGGGACUAAAAACAAAACUGUAAAUAUUUAUAGGGACUAAAAACUUAAUUAACCCUUUCAAAUAUAGCUGUCAAAACGGACGGCCCGGCCCGUUUGGGGCCGGGUCUAACGGGCUUCGGGCUUUAGCGGGCCGGGCUAAAAAGCCUGGUUGAAAAACAUGAUUGAAAUAUACUACCUGAGCCCGGCCCGUAUUAAAAAUUAUAUAUAUUUUAUUUUUAAAAAGUACUAUAAAACACUACUAUAAAUUUUUUAUAAAUAAUAUUUUUAAUAUGUUUAAAUAAUGUCUAGCACAAAAAUAAAUUGUAAACAUUUUCGUACAAACUUCGUAAACUAAAACGACGAGGAAAAUGAUUUUAAAUAAAUUAGAUACGUUAUGGUUAUAGAUAUUUAUAUAUUCGAUCUUUAAAACUAUAAAUAACGAAACGAAUAAAUAUAAUUUUAUAUUACAUUUAUAUUUGUGUUAAUUCAUUGAAUUUUCACUUUUGUUUUUUACUUUGAUAAUCAACUAAGUAAAGAAUUAUUUGAAAAAUAUAUAUAAUUUAUAGGAUUUUUUUUUGUUAUGCUGACUAACGGGCUACCCGCGGCCCGUUCGGGCUAGCCCUAACGGGUACCGGGCUUUUAAGGGCCGGGCUAAAAAACCCUAUUAAAAUUUGGGCUCAAUAUUUUAGGCCCAAACCCUAUAUUUAUUCGGGCUAAACGGGCUGGCCCAUACGGCCCGGCCCGUUUUGACAGCUCUACUUUCAAAUAUAACGUGGGUUAGGUGGUUCUUUGGUACUUUUUGUGUACAACUUGUCGAGAAUAAUAUUAGCUGAUAAAAAAAGAUAUAUAUACACAAACAUAUGAGAUGUUGAAUGGAUUUGUCAAGCUAAGUUAGAAGAAACUACCCAGGUAGGGAUUGGCUUAAUGGGGAAGAGAGGUGCAAAAUCAAGAAGCUUGCACUUCCCUAACUUAAAUUAUCGAUUUCAUUUGUCUUUUUUUUUGUUACGAACUUGUUAUCCUUGGUGUAUAAUUUCAAAGGUUAAUUAGCAACAAAGUUCUCCUCAAGAUGCCUUCAACAAUUGUGAUGUAAAUUUUUAAAACUAAUUUGUAAUUCUGAUGGGUUGGGAAUUAAGUUUUUUCCUUUCAAAAGAAAGGGGUAAGUUUUCUAACCGGAAGUAUUAGGAAUUCAGUUGCGACACCUUUACAAAUCCAAAUACCAAAUUUCUGAUGAUGAUUUAUUAUUUAUUUUGCCGAAAGAUGAAAUGACAAGUCAGUUUAAACUCUCACACACAAAUAAAGAUGUUGGGGUUCAAAUAUCAGCCCUAACGUCUAAUAUAAAAAUUUCGAUAUUUUACCAAUUGAGUUAGAAUUUAUGGACAAACCAAAUUAUGAUUUUAUUAAAGUAAAAAACAAUAAAAAUAUUCAAACAAAAUAUUUAGCAGUAUCAAUCAAGCAACCGAUAACAUUUUAUAUUAGUCAUGAUCUGUGAGACAUUCACAAUGUAUAUAUGGACUGUAUAUAUGGACUGAUUUUUUAAGUGAUCAUCUAAUUUUGAGUAAAUAGACAAUUAUUCUUAAAAUUAUAAGUUUCGUCAAUUAUCCUUCUGAAAUUAACAAAACUUUAAUUAUCCUCCUGAAAUUAUACAACGUUGAUCAAUUUACCCCCUCCGUCAAAUUAUUCUAGUCAACAUGACUUUGCAAAUACAUUCCCCUCAAUUAUCCUUCUGAAAUUAACAAAACUUUAAUCAUCCUCCUGAAAUUAUACAACGUUAAUCAAUUUACCCCCUUCGUCAAAUUCUUUUAGUCAACAUGACGUUUGCAAAUACCUUCCCCUGAAGUUUUGCACUAAUGUGCAAAAUACCCCUUGAACUUGAAAAUUUAUAUAUAUUUUUUCUUAUACCUGACUCAAAAGAUAUUAAAGAGAAACAAUUAAUGGAGCUGGCUAAUCCCCACAGAAAUAUAGCUGGCUAAUCCCGUUUUGUAUCCAUGUAUGCAAUCCUACUUAAUGAGUAUUUUAAACUGCUUCUUUUUCUAUCAAAACAAUGUUGAAUUGAAAUUCUUUUUGGAAUUCUAGCUUAUGACUCCCAACAUGGUGCCAAACACAUCAAUAUUGACAAAUAGUGUUAGGCUCCAUAGGAUACGCUUAUGUUGAUUGUCAUGUGCUCAUUAUAUUCACAAACAAAAUAUUAUUGAGUUUAGAUUUCCAUAUCUUAUGUUGUUUGUCUUUAAUAUCUUUUGAGUCAAGGAUAAGAAAAAAAUAUAUAAAUUUUCAAGUUCGGGGGCAUUUUGCACAUAAGUGCAAAACUUCAGGGGAGGUAUUUGGAAAACGUCAUGUUGACUAAUAGAAAAAUUUGACGGAAGGUGUAAAUUGAUUAACGUUGUGCAAUUUCAGGGGGAUAAUUGAUGAAACUUACAAUUUCGAAGGAUAAUUGUCUAUUUAGUCAUUUACUCCCUCCGUCCCUAAUUAUAAGACCCUUUUGAGAUUUUUUUUGUCCCUUUUUAUAAGACCCCUUUGUUAUUUCCAACUACAUUAAUUAUUUCUUUACAUACAUGCCCCUAUUUAUUAUACAUCUUUUUCUUCAAUCAGCAAUAAGUAGCAUAUGGAAAACAUAAACUAACUCUCUCUCUUAAGGAUAAAAUUGUAAAAACAAUAGUGAUUACAAACAACUUUAAUACAAAUAUCCACUUUCUUAAUUCCCGUGAUUUUAGCAAAAUGAUCUUAUAAUUAGGGAGGGAGUAAUUUUCUUUAAGCCAAGUGAUGUAGUUGCUAAAGUUUUAGCUCUAAAAUGCAAAAAUCGGAGUUAAGAUCUCAACCAUUAUAAUAUAAUAUAAUAUUUCUAUCAAUUGAGUUACAUUAAACAAUAACUUUCAUUUUUAUCACAACAACUACAAGAUUGUCACCGUUUUCCUUUGAUGUGGUUGCAAAAUCGUUUACUAAUGAAAUCUCUAUGACUUCGUUUGUAUUUUAUAGAUGCCAAGUUGCAAUAUUUUUUUCUAAAUUGGUUUUUAGUUCUAUAAUUUAUUUUAUUUACAAGGACUGCAAAAUGACUAAAUUAUAUUUUUGACUCCUCUGAUUAUAAACAUUAGACAUUUAGUCUCUUCAGUUUUUUUUUUUUUAUACGGUAAAUAUAAAAAACAUUAUACAGUUUGAUCUCCUUUUAUACGGUAAAUAUAUAUUGUGAUAUCGUAAGGUAUAAAUAUUUAUAAUGUUUGUAACUUAAAAAGACCAAAUUAAAAGAAAAUAAUUUAAACAUUAGAGUGAAAUCUAAAAAAAAAAAAUUAAUAGACAAAAAGGAAAUUGACCCAAAAAAUAAUAGAAUCGAAUCCUAAUUUUUUUUUUUUGACAAAAGAAUCGAAUCCUAAUAACAGUAACAUUUUCACACUUUUCUUAUAUUUACUUUUGCAUCCAAUUUUCUUAAUUUCAUUUUUCCUUUUCAUCAUAUAUUUAAAUUUUUAGACAAAAGUAAACAUGUGAUUCCUUAACUUAAUUUCAGUUAACUAUUUAAUCAUUUUUCUAUUUUUUUUAUUGCAUUGUUGCUCUUUAAUUUUGGUUCAGUUUUAAAUUCAUAAUUUUCUUUUCUUAUGACCUCUCAAUUUUUAAAUAUAUGGUCUUUCAUAUAUGUUUGCAUAUAAAUAUAAUAUUAAAAAUCUGAAAAUUCAUAAGCAAAUAGACAGAAACAAUAAAAUUGCAAUGAAAAAUCAAUAAAAGACCUAAUUAUUAUCUAAAAUUAAGUUUUUUUUAAUGAAUAUCUAAAAUUAACUAUAGUGUAAUUUAACCUAAUUAUUAUUUAUUUUCUUCUAUCUCUCUUUCCCAAAUAUAUAAUACUAUAAGAUAAGAUAUGUACUCCACAUAGUUGUCAAACUAUCAUCAUUAUUUAAUCAUCAAUAAGAGAAAUAUCGGUUCAAAUUAAAAGGCUGCUCCUCAUAGAAAAUGUUCAUAGUGAGGUGUCAAUUUUGACCAACAAAGGCUGCCACUAGUUCAACAAAAAUGAAUAUUUUUAUUUUUAUUUGGUCACUAAAACACAAAGAGACUUGAUAAGUAGUAGCUAGACUGAAGUUGGUGGCAAUCCAAAUUAGUCCUAUAAAUAUCAAACAAAGUAUAGUUUAUUCAUAACACACUCACUACUACUUUGGUAACUUACUCAGAACAAGAAAAAACAGACACACAUAAACACACUUGUUUUUUUACUAAAGUUAUUUUUUCUUCCAAUGGCAACUGAAAACAAAAUCCUGAUCCUAGGACCAACAGGAGCUAUUGGAAGACACAUAGUUUGGGCAAGUAUUAAAGCAGGAAAUCCAACAUAUGCUUUGGUUAGAAAAACACCUGGCAAUGUUAACAAGCCAAAGCUUAUUACAGCUGCUAAUCCUGAAACCAAGGAAGAGCUUAUUGAUAAUUACCAAUCUUUAGGAGUUAUUCUACUUGAAGUAAGUGAUUUCAAUUUCUGAAAUAAUUUUAUAUUUUAUACUAAUUAAAUUUUUCUAAUCAAUAUGUCUUUGACUCUGCAGGGUGAUAUAAAUGAUCAUGAAACUCUUGUUAAGGCAAUCAAGCAAGUUGAUAUUGUGAUUUGUGCUGCUGGUAGACUACUAAUUGAGGAUCAGGUCAAGAUUAUUAAAGCAAUUAAAGAAGCUGGAAACGUUAAGGUGAGCAAAUUUGUCACUACACCACACUAAAUAAGUUCAAAUAAGUCAAUCUAAAUAAACUAUUAAGUAAUAGCUCCUUUGCUGGUUAGAUUUCGGCUUGUUAUAUUGAAUGUUGGUACUAAAUUUCUUGUGUCUACAGAAAUUUUUCCCAUCCGAAUUUGGGCUAGACGUGGACCGUCACGAGGCAGUUGAGCCAGUUAGACAAGUUUUUGAAGAAAAAGCGAGUAUCCGAAGAGUAAUUGAAGCUGAAGGAGUUCCUUACACUUACCUUUGUUGCCACGCCUUUACCGGUUACUUCUUACGUAACUUGGCUCAACUCGACGUCACUGAUCCUCCUCGGGAUAAAGUUGUCAUUCUUGGAGAUGGAAAUGUGAAAGGUAGCAAACUUAUUCACAAAACAGUUUUAGUACUAGUAUUCUACUAAACAUACAUCAUUCAAUUGUUUCAACAUUUGCCUUAAUUUUUUUUUUUUUCAGGAGCUUAUGUCACUGAGGCUGAUGUUGGGACUUUUACCAUUAAAGCAGCAAAUGAUCCCAACACAUUGAACAAAGCUGUCCAUAUAAGACUCCCCAAAAAUUAUUUGACCCAAAAUGAGGUUAUUUCUCUUUGGGAGAAAAAGAUUGGGAAGACUCUUGAGAAAACUUAUGUUUCAGAGGAACAAGUUCUCAAGGAUAUUCAAGGUCAGUAAAAUAAACGCUUUAUAAAUAUUGUUAAGAAUUUUUACAAUGUUAAUCAAUCAAUAAAUCGUUAAAAUUAUUUGAUUUUAAUUAUAUCUAUGCUUACUACGCAGAAUCUUCAUUCCCUCAUAACUACUUGUUGGCAUUGUAUCAUUCACAACAAAUAAAAGGAGAUGCAGUUUAUGAGAUUGAUCCAACCAAAGAUAUUGAAGCUUCUGAAGCCUAUCCUGAUGUCACAUACACCACUGCUGAUGAAUAUUUGAAUCAAUUUGUCUAAGUUUGUCAUCCCGGAAAUGUUAAAUAAGACAAAGAUUAUUUUUUCUUAAUAGUUUCACAUGUUGUACCACAUCAAUUAUAUUGUUAGUUGUCCUUGUUGUCUUGUUCUCAAUAAACCUUCCAAUUGAUGUAAUAUUUUACAAAAAUAAUAAUAUUGUAUUGUUCUAUUGUUUGCACAUUUGUGUCACUAGUAUCACUCUAUUAUUUUGUUGUUGCCCGUGAAUGGGUGACUCAAUAAAUUAUUUAAUACCCACGUCAGGAUGGACCGAUCUACCGUAUGAAGCAAUAUUUGUUUGGUCUCGGUUAUAAAUUUAAAUUAUUUACACACAUGCAAAAGAAAAAAAGUAGAAAGAAUGAACCAAUAUUUUUUUAUUUUAUUUUUAUGGGGGUGUUUGUUUGGGAGAUAAAAAAUAUAUUCCUGGGUAUAAGGGCAUUAAAUAUGAUAUUCCUAUGUUUGGUAGAAGGGAACAAAAAUAAUAUACCCAGGAAUAAAUGAUUCCCAGGAAUCUUAUUUACCCGUUGACUCUCUAUUUUUAUUCCCGGGGGUGGGGGGCUGGAAUCUUCAAUUCCUGAGAAUGAAAUCUCCACAUUCAUGACGAAAACCCACCCAUACCCCUAUUUUACCCACGCUUCUUCCCUCCUAAUUUUUCCCACGCGUUUUCUAAAUUAAUAGAAACCCACAUAUAUAUAAACCCCUCUUUGCUCUCUCUUUUCACUCAUCUGGAUCCAGAUCCAUCCAUAACAGGUUUGUGUCUUAUGUUUUGUUUUGUUUUUUGCGUUUUUUUAACUGCUGGACAGAUUCUCGGCCUGCCAGGCUGCUGUACCAGCGGAGCUGGGCCGCGCAAAUGCGAGUUUCGGUGACUGACAUUCGAGCGGGCAUCCACCAUUCUGUUGCUGUUGCAUGUCAAAGGUGUUGGGCAGUCUGCCAACCUUCAAUUAAAUGGCGUGUAACAACUUGAAACAGGGUACUCUUGUUAUGUAUUAAAAAACAAGUAUAUACCCUGACCAAUACCUUUGUUGACUCGCAUAAUUUACUUUGCUUGAUUAAAAAUAACAUGAAAAAUAUUAUUUUUCAUCAAUUUAAUGUAAAAGGGUAUUUUAAUAAUUUUGACAUUUAUUCCUGGGAUUAUACAUUUUAAACCAAACAUAUUUUUAGUAUUCCCAGGAAUUUAGAAAGAAAGUUCCAAGGAAUUCAAAUUGGUAACCAAACACUUUUUUAAAAUAUUCCUAGGAAUAUAAUUCCAAGGAAUAUAUUCCUGGGAAAAUUAUUCCAGGGAAUAAUUUUUGCAUCUGUGAAACAAACGGCCCCUAUAUUAUUGAAAUAAGUGCCCUAAAGGCAUUUGUUAGCAUUCUCCUUAAAAUAAUUAUAUGAUGUGUAUUUUGAUUGUGCACUUAAAUGAUUUGAAUUUGUGGUUGUGACUAUAUAAAAAUUAUUCGACGGCAUGAUCAACAGACCGUGUGAACAAUUGAAAUAUAUUAAAUAAUCAUGUUCAGACAUCCCUUACUUGUAGAGGUGUCAAAUGGACUGGACAACCCAGUUCGGCUUAAGAGUUUUGACUACAUAAAUGAACCAGUCUGACCAAGCCCAUUUGUAAUUGGGCCGCAUAAAAUAUAAUUGAAUGGAUAUAGAAGUAUAAAUAUUUUUUACAUUACCAUUAAAUACUAAUUAAACUCUAGAUUUAUUUCUUCAAUUGAAUCAAAUUAAUACUACAUCCGUCCAUAAUUAUAGGAUCCUUUUGAAAAAUAACAGGAAUUAAGAAAAUUAAAAGUGAUAAUAAAUUUGUUUUUAAUUACAAUUGUUUUUACAAAUUUGUCUUUUAAGAGUGGGUUAGUCCGUUAAUGUAUGUUUACAAUGUAGUAUUUAAUGAUGAUUGAAGAAAAAGAUAUACAAUAAAUAGGGGUAUGGUGGUAAAGAAUUAAUUAAUAUAUUUGGAAAUAGCAAAGAGAUUUUUAUAAAAAGAGACAAAAAAAUUCUCAAAAGGGUCCUAUAAUUAGGGACAGAGACAGUAGUUUAUAAACUUUAGAAUUUUAAAACUUUGAACUAAAUUUAUGCAUUUUUAUUAAGUUGACUUAUUUCAAUAUAUUUUAUUAAUAAAUUUUUAAAGUAGUUGAUAAUGUUUUUAAAAAAUAUAGCGUUUUUUAACAAAAAUAAAAUAAAAGUAUAGAUAGUAGGUCGGUCCGAAGUCCGAUAGGUUAGCCUGACUCGGCCCCAUUUUCAUAUGGAUCAAAUGAGCUAAGGUAAAAAAAAAUACGAGAGUAUUUUUAGUUAGGUUUGUGGUUCGGCCCAAAAUGUGUCAUUUUUUAUGUCUCUACUUACUAGCCAUCUCACCAUUAACAACGAUUUGUCAACUAAACAAUGUCAUCUUCUUUUCUAUUAAAGUUAACCCGGAAGCCCUAAUUUUAACCUAAACUAUAUUGCAUAAAUUUACUGUUUUAACCCUAAUGCUUAAUUCCUUUGUUUAAUCCUAUUAACCCUAUUUCUUGGUUGAAACAAAUUGAACCUAAUCUCCUAUUUUCUUGAAUAAAACAAAUUGGCCCUAUUUCUUCAACAAAACAAAUCGCUUUAUUUCUUGCUUUAAAAAAGAAACAACAACUCAAGUUGGGAUACUCUACUUGACCUAGAAGAGAAAUAACGGAAAGAAGAACUUGCCUUUUUGAGAACUUAUUGUCGGAACUCGGAAGCAAUGGUGAUCUGCUAAGUUUAUGGCGAGUUCGAUUGAUUAUGAGCUGCUAAGUUCGAUUGAGUAAGAGUUCGAUUGAUUAUGAGUUGCGAAGUUCCAUUGAGUAACAGGCAACAAAUCCUUCUUCUCAUGGCGGUAGGGAUGAGAGAUUUUGCUUACAACAAAUUAAUGGCAUGAUCAUAGGAAAGAGAUUUUAGUUUCUAGGUUUAGUAAGAACAAUGGGAUGAGAAAUGAUGAGGUAGAGUUGCAUGUGAAGAUAUGAUGAGGGAGAUAAAGAUGUUGAUAGGUUUUGGAAUAGGAAAGUAAUUUUUAUGAGAGAGGUUGACUACAGCUAUAAAAUAAAUGAUAAUUAUAUUUAUUUGAUACUUCCUAAAUGUUGUUACUUGAGAGUUAAAACGAUCUCUUUCCUGUGCAAACUAAAAAAUAAAGAGAAUAUAUGAAUUUUUAAUUCCAGCUAUUUUUUAUUCUUUUUUUUUUUUGUCUUUGAAAAUUGAUCUUUAAACUUCAUUAUUUGAAAAAAUCGAUUAUUUAUACUUUAACUAUUUUUAUUAAACUUAAUGUCUACUAAAAAUACAAUCUUAUUUCUUCUUAAUUUUUUAACACGUGAUCAAAAUUAUAUCUUUUUGUGUCUUUUGCUCCAACUUCCCUCUAUUUUUGCUUUCUUAAAAACAAAUUAAAACAAACUCACUCGAUAGAAUUCACUAACUUAAUCUUUUUUUAAAGAAAAAACAAGCUUAAUCUUAAUAAAUAUAUAAAGAGUUAAAAAUAAUUUACAAUCUAUUUUCUUUCUCUUUCUCUAAUUAUGAAGUUAAUGACCGAUAAAAACAAAUUUUUGCCUCAUCUUAAUAUUUUGACACCUCAACAUAUAUUUAUCUUUGUAUGUCUUUUGUAACAAAAUAUCCUAUUUCGCUGAGGGAGAAAAUAACUUUCAAAAGAUUGAUGUGAUUUUAUAACAAAAAAUUCAUUUUAUAUUGAUAUAUCUAUACAAUCUAAAAUAUUUGAAUACCGGACAAAUUACUCUUAAAAAAAAAAAUCAUCGGCAAAUUAUAAUAACCUCCCUUAAGAUCUUCUUAAAUACUAACCUUCCUUAAGGUCUUCUUAAUUGAAAAGCACUUCCCCUAUAAUAUAACACGGUUUAAACUUCGUUCAUUCUAUUUUUUUUAGCAAUUAACUUCUCCAUACGAGUAUAAACUCACUUAAUUUUUCGACCAUUUUUUCUUUCCAUUUUUCACUUUAGUGAUUUUCUCAACUUAUUGUUCCUCAAUUAAGGUGAUUUAAUUUUUAAACUCUAAUAUAAUAAAACGGAUAUAUCAAAGAUUAUUUUCUUUUCAUUGAUCAACUGCAAUGUCCAUCCACUAAAAUUCUUCUCAUUUCUAUAUUCUCUCCUGAUCUCUUAUGUAAUUGCCGAUGUUUGAUUCUAUUUGGCGGUAUGAACAAAUGUUGUUAUUGUUUCUUCAUUGCGAGAAAAAAACUCAUUUAAACAUAAUUGUGAAAAGAGAAAUUAGAUACAAACAAACCAAAAUGACUGAAAUUAAAUUGUAUAUUUACAAAGUUAUUGAAAUGGAAAAAAUGUGGGAAGAUUGAUGUGUUGGAAAAUUAGAAGGCGUGCUUGUGUUAUUUAAGAAAAUCUCAAGGGAUGUCAAUGUAAUUUACCCUUUUAUCAUUAAUGUUGACUUUAUCAUUAGUUUUUUCUUAUUUUUUCAAUUCAUAUAGCAUUGCAAUGCGCUUUGAUGCAUACCCCCGCUUCAAAUUAGCUCGUGCGGAGAGCACGGGUUUGUUGCUAGUUGAUAUAAAUAAUGUGAUUGAUGUCACUUUCAGUUAGCCCCCAAAACUUUGCAUAAAGGGUGAUUCACUGUCAAUUAAAAUUUCUGAAGAUUUAUACCAAGUAGGGUUGGAAAAAUACAAGAACGAAUUGCAUGGUAGAUUUAAGUUGUAAAGGAGGAUAUGCCACCAUGGUCGUAUCUGAGGUAGGAUAAAGAGAACGACUGUACUAGACUUCAAAAAAUAAGUUCAAAAAAAUACAAAAAUAAUACUUAAAAGUUUAGUUCUUUGUUGGCACAUAUCUAGAAAUGCUUGUAGAAAUUGUUUUGUAUGAGCAUUUAAAUAUUAAAUAAAAAAUCAUAAUUUUAUACGAAGUUUGAUAUUUUUAUUAGAUUAUUUCUUAGCGUAAUAAAAACCAUCAUUUUCAAGUAAAUUAUUUUCACACUUUAGAAAUUCAAUUUUUUUAUAUGCUUAUUAUUUAAGACUCAAAUUGUAGAUUUACCCUUAGGACACCAAAAUCUUAGAAACGAACAUGUAUGUCACUCAAGUCGGAUGACCUUCAAUUCAAAUUAGCCAAAUUAUUGAAAUCAUUAUGUCAUUGAAAAAAUGAUACCACUAGGUAAGGGUUUUUACGAAAUUUCAUUUAGUUUCUAAAGAGGGUUUAAGAAGGACAUGGAUUAUGGGAGCACAAUCUUUGCAUUUGGGUAUCUUGUCUUUGCUUCGAUGGACACCAGAUUUCAGUUUAAGGAAACGAAGACAAACAAAUGUAGAAUGUUGUUAUCUCCAGUUAUACUUCCUUCAAUUUGUGAGUAAGUAAAAUUAUGGCUUAAUUACCUAUUUUGUUUCUUUCACUGAAUUACAUAAAACAUGUGACAUGUCUAAAAGAAAUUCAAUUUGGCUAUCAACAUUGUUGAAUGUGACUUAAACUUUCAUGUUUGAAUGGUGAAAAAAUGGUUUGCUAUUGUCCAAUAUGAAAGGCAUAUCCGGUGGUGAGGCGCAAGGCAUACUCUGGGUGUUUUUAUCACAUUUCGGUUCUGUCCCACAUGCCUUGCGCAUGGAGCAACAUGCAAGGCGCAUCCUGGAUAUGCUAACUUGAUGCAAGGUGCCUACAUCAGGUACAUCAUCUAUGAUUUCCAGUUUUCUCAUUCUUUUGUGAUUAAUCUUAUGAAACUAAAGAAGAUAGCUCUUAAGUAUCUUAGAGGCUAAAAGUAGAGGGUCUUUGUGUGAGAUUUUUAGGUUGGGCGGGAAACACAUUGUAAAUUUGAAUGUUGGCAACAAGUUAUGCAAGCUGAACUUUCUGCUCUUGAGACUCCUGGUACAUGGAAAAUUGUGGAUUUACCAUAAAAUGUGAAACAAAUAGGUUACAGAUGGAUUUAUAAGAUCAAACAUUAUGUUGAUGGAUCUAUUGAGAGGUACAAAGCCAGACUUAUUGCAAAAGGGUACAAUAUUUGAUAGAAAGACUUGAUUAUUUUAUCGCAUACUCACCAGUUGAUGUAAUAUUUUAGAAAAAUAACAAUAUUGUAUUUUGUUCUAUUGUUUGCACAUUUCACAUUUGUGUCACUAGUGUUCAGUUUUGAAAAUUUUACAUCACUCUAUUAUUUUAUUGUUGCCCGUGAAUGGGUGACUCAAAAACUUAUUUAAAACACACGUCAGGAUGGACCGAUCUAUACCACAUGAAGCAAUUUUAUUUAUUUAUUUUAAACAAUGUACCUUUUGGACAUUGUGUGGUCACAAAUUCUUCAAAAAUAAAAUUUAAAUUAUUUACACAUAUGCAAAUGAAAAAAUUAGAAAAAAAAGAAGCGAUAUCUUUUAUUAUCAUUUUUUUGAAGAGACUAAAAUGAAUUAUAUUACCACCACGAAAGUCUUCCUAGCACAAGGGAUGUCAAGGAAUAAAAACCUCAAAGUCAAACAAAAUAAUAAAUUACAACAAGGCAAAAGCCAUCACCACAAAACAACCUGAAACAACACAACAAUUAUCCUAUGCCUAGUAAAGUGAACGAACUAAGCCACCAACCAUGAUAGUUAAAAUGAAGAGUAGCAUACUUCGCCUUCAACCACUUGAAUGUUAGCAACUUAAUCCUAUCCACCACCUGCAUAAUGGCGCUAUCAUUAGCAUUAAAAAUUAUGUUGUUUCUUUCCUUCCAUAUUUCCCACAUAGUCGCAAACCAAAUCACCUGAAGAAUAGAUUGCCUCGACUUAGAGCCACCGCUUAAAAAACUGAAUUGAAUAAAAUGCCCCGAAACAUCUAAAGGCAUCGCUGUAGCUAUACCAAUCCAUUGAUAUAUAUAAUUCCAAACCGAUCCAAAAAGACUACAAUGUAAGAAUAAAUGGUUUUAUGUUUCAACAAAACCGCAUCCACCAACACAAAUUUGAGCGUCAAAAUCUAAAACAUGACGCCUAUGAAGAUUAACCUUUGUAGGAAGCCGGUCACGAAAUACACGCCACGCAAAAAGCACCACCUUCAAAGGGACAUCCUUAUGCCAAAAAGAAGGCAAACGCACCACAUUAUCAACAUGAACCUGCGCCAUGAGAGUAGUGUCUGCACUUUUUACUGUAUAACAGGAAGUAGGAUCCGCGUUCCACUUCCAAAAAUCCUUUAUGUGAACCUGAAAAGAAACAUUUUGAAGUAAAAGCCUAAGCUCCCCUACCGACUCUUCCUCCCAAGCCCACAGCCUACGCCUCCACCUCCACGCCCCACCCUCCUCCUCCCACCCUAACGCUCUCAUCGCUGCAACAGACUCCUCCUUUAGAAGCGACAACUCAUACAACCUACUAAAUCUAUCCCGAAGCGACACUCGCUUCACCCAAACAUCCGUCCAAAACAAGACACUAGACCCAUCACCCAAAGAACGACUAAUAUUAUUAUUAAACCAGCCCUCAGAUCGCAAGGCCACUAUACUUCGCCACCACGCGGAACCAUCACGACCUCCACUACACAAGUGACCGCCCUCCAAACCAUUUCGCGCCGCUAACACCCUAAACCACAGACUAUCCCUAUCCACCAACACCACUUCCCUAAUAAUGCUAAAUUAAAUUCUUUAAUUCUCCUAACCCCCAAACCUCCAACUUCCUGACUCCGACAAACAGAAUUCCAAUCAACCCAAAUAAUUUUCCUGUGGUCUGCACUCCCCCCCCCCCCAAAAAAAAUUAUUUAAAAUAGAUUCAAUAGAAGAAACAAUACCUGACGGAGCCUUGAAAAAAGAAAGAGCAUAAACAGGCAGGGACGAUAGGACGGACUUCAGUAGAACCAACCGGCCACCCAAAGACAAGUGUUUCGACUUCCAACCCAACAAUCUAGACUUAAGACGGAAUGAUUUAUAUUUUGUAUAUGUACCUAAAUGAUUUGAAUUCGUGGUUGUGACCACACAAAACUUAUCCGACAGAAUGAUCAAUAGACUAUGUAGACAAUUGAAAUAUAUUAAAUAAUCAUUUUCGGAUAUCCCUUACUUUGUAGAGGUGUCAAAUGAAUUGAUCCGACUCAGUCCGGACUGAGAGGUCCGACUACAUAAUUUGGUCAGAACGACCCAACCCAUUUGUAACUGGACCGCAUAUUAUAGAGCCCGACCUGAUCUAUAGGUCAUGGACCAACCCGACCCGUUUAUUUAUUUAUUCACUUUUUUUUCUUUCUUUUUUUUUAUGUAUUUUUUAUAUAUUAGUUACCCACAACAAUCUUUUUUCUCAAAUAUGAUUGGAUGAACAUAGAAAUGCAAAUAAUUUUUACAUUAACAUUAAAUACUAAUUAAACUUGAGAUUUAUUCCUUCAAUUGAUUCAAUUAAUAAUUUAUAAACUUUAGAAUUUUAAAUCUUUGAGCUAAAUUUAUCCGAUUUUAUUAAGUUUACUUAUUUAAUUUUUUUUUUUAUUAAUGACUAUUAAAGCAGUUGAUAAAGUCUUAAAAAAUAUAGCGUUUUUAACAAAAAUCAAAUGGAAAUAUUGAUAGUGGACCGGUCCGAAGCCUGAUAGGUUAGCCCGACUCGGCCUAUUUUUAUAUGAAAAUUACUCUUCUUCCUUUUAAAAUUGUUUAUUCUCUUAAGAUCGGUUGACCCGACUGAAAAUGUGAUUGAAUCGAUUUUAAAAGUGUUAGCAAGAGUUAACUACCGCUGAAAAAUACCUAACGUGAGUUAACUUCCGCUUAUAUAAGAGAAUGAUCAAUUUUGAAAGGAAUAAGAGCAAUUUUCUUUUUAUAUGGGUCAAAUGAGUUACGGUCAAAAAAGUCCGAAAAAUGCUCUUCUCUCAAAAAGAUUUGCUCACUUCCAACCAAACUUACAAAAAUACUCCACAUAAGUUAAGUCACACAUAUAUUAAACUCAGCAUGACUUAACUCACGUUAAAAAUUUAAACUGAACUGCAACAUAAAUUAACUCACCUUAGUUUUCUUUCUCAAGUUUCACAUGAAAAUCUUGCUCCUGCUAAGAUGCUUAUUUAAUUAUUUAAUAUAUUGCUGUUGAUAUGAUUGUGUGUACCUGUCGCAGUAAUGCAAAGUAGAAGGUAUCCAGCAUGACCCAUACCAUGAUGCUAGCAGCAGUACACACGUGUGUUGUUAGGACAGCAAGAGAUGCAAUGGUCCAUACACCCAUUUAAACCAUUAUAAGCAUUGGAGGAGCAAGAUUUUCAUGUGAAAAUUGAGAAAGAAAACCAGCGUCAGUUAACUUACGAUGGGAUUUAGUGUGAGUUUUUAGCAUGGCUUAAGUCACGUAGGUUGUAUUCCAGUAUGAUUUAAGUAAGUUGGGUUUAACACUUGCGUGAUUUAACUCACGCGAGGAUAUUUUCAAAAAUUUGGUUGAGAAUAAACAAAUCUUGUUGAAAAAAGAGCAUUUUUCAAAAAGUCCGAAUGCAUUUUGGGCCGUCUUUUUUAGAUCCAGCCCAAAAUGUGUUAGUUUUUGCAAUCUCUACCUACUUGCCAUCUCACUAUUAACAACGAUUUAUCAACUAAACUAAACAAUGCCAUUUUUUAUACAUGCACUAAAUAAUGUGAUUGAUGUCACUGUCACACAACCCCCAAAACUUUGCAUAAAGGGGGAUUCAUUGUCAAUAAAAAUUCCUAGGAUUUAUACCAACCAGGGUUGGAAAAAUACAAAAACAAACUGCAUGGUAGAUUUACGCUGCAAAGAGGGAUAUGCCAUGGCCGUAUCUUAGGCAGGGCAAAGAGGACGAUCAUACUAGUUCUCACAUAAUAACUUCAAAUUUAGAUCUCAAAAUUCAAAAAUAAUAUUUAAAUAUUUAGUUCUUUGUUGGCACAUAUCUAAAAAUGCUCAUAGAAAUUGUUUUGUAUGAGUAAUUAAUAUUAAAUAAAAAAUUUCAAUAUUUUAUAUGAAGUCCAAUGUUUUAUUAGAUUAUUUCUUAGCGUAAUAAAAACUAUUAUUUUCAAGCAAAUUUUUUUCACAUUUUAGAAAUUCAAUUUUUUGUAUAUAUUUAUUAAUUAUGAUCCAAAUUGUAGGUUUAUCUUUAAACCACCAAAAUCUUAGAAACGGGCUUGUAUGCAUCUCAAGUCGGACGACCUUCAAUUCAAAUUAGUCAAAUUAUAGAAACCAUUAUGCCGUUGAAAAGAGGCUUUAAGAAGGACCUGAAUUCUGAGAGCACAGACUUUAUAUUUGGGUAUCUUGUGUUUGCUUCAGUGGACACCACACUUCAAUCUAUGGAAACAAAGACAAACAAAUGUACAAUGUUGUUAUCACCAAUUAUAUUUCCUUCAAUUUGCAAAGAAGUAAAAUCAUGGCUUAAUUACAUAUUUAGUUCCUUUCACUGAAUUACAUAAAACAUUUGACAUGUCUUAAAGAAAUCCAAUUUGGCUAUCAACAUUGUUGAAUGUGACUUAAACUUUCAUGUUUGAAUGGUGAAAAAAUGGUUUGUUAUUGUCCAAUAUGCAAGGCAUAUGCGGUGGUGAGGCGCAAGGAGCAUCCUGGAUCUGCUGACUGUGCGCAAGGUGUCUGCAUCAAGUCCAAUAUCUAUGGAAUUUCAGUUUUCUCAUCCUUUUGUGGUUGUGAAACUAAACAAGAUAGCUUUUAAGAAUCUUAGAGACUAACAGUUGAGUUGAGGGUUUUAAGUAAGAUUUUUAGGUUGUGAAACUCAUUAUAAAUAUUUUGGAGAUUAAAAGUAGUUGAGUCUCUUGAUCACAAAAAGAUAUAGAAAAAUGGGUAAAAAUUAGAUUGUUCAUAGAGAACUUGUUCAAGCUAAUUUUUUAUAACUUAUUUUUAUCAUUUGUAAGAAUUAAACUCAUUUAUUGGGAAUUGGAGAGUUGCAUUUUCCCAUAUGUAGGUUAUUAUUGUUGGACCAAACUGAAAACCAAAUCUUGAUGUGUUUAUUUCUCUACUCUCUUUAUUUUGUUGUUGUUGCUUUGAUUGUGGAUUUUCUUUACGCUUUUUUGUUACAUCGACAAUUAUAAAAAAUUAACAAUCUAUUGAAACUCAUUUCAAGCGCUCUAAGUGUUUAAGAACAAUUUAUGUUGAGUGAUUAAACACAUUUUUUUUUGUAAUAGCUGUAUAUAUCUAUCAAAUGAAGACAAAUUCUUUGUAUUUUUUUCUUUUUAUUUAUUAUAUUUACUUUUUGCUUAAAAAAAACGAAGAGAAAUUCAACAUGCAGGUUGUGUGGUGUCAUUGUUGAAAAAUUGUGAAGUAUAGGUUUCAAGUUGAAUAUUAAAAAAUCCUUAAAAAGUUAGAUGUAUCAUCGAUAAUUUGGAUUAUAGAUGGAUGAUACGAUGGAUACAUACUCAACCAAAUUGUUUUCGUAAGCUGAGUUUUUUGUAUAUAUAUAUUACAACUGACUAGUAGUAUGUUUUAUGCGGAGUUAAUAGACUUAAGAGAAGGUGUCAAUCUUGACCAACAGGGGCUACUUCUAAUUCAACAAUAAUGGAAUAUUAUUAAAUUUGGUCACCAAAACACACAGAGAGUAGUAGAUAGAUGGAAGUUGGUGGCAAUCCAAAUUAGUCCUAUAAAUAUCAAACAAAGUAUAGUUUAUUCAUAACACACUCACUACUACUUUGGUAACUUACUCAGAACAAGAAAAAACAGACACACAUAAACACACUUGUUUUUUUACUAAAGUUAUUUUUUCUUCCAAUGGCAACUGAAAACAAAAUCCUGAUCCUAGGACCAACAGGAGCUAUUGGAAGACACAUAGUUUGGGCAAGUAUUAAAGCAGGAAAUCCAACAUAUGCUUUGGUUAGAAAAACACCUGGCAAUGUUAACAAGCCAAAGCUUAUUACAGCUGCUAAUCCUGAAACCAAGGAAGAGCUUAUUGAUAAUUACCAAUCUUUAGGAGUUAUUCUACUUGAAGUAAGUGAUUUCAAUUUCUGAAAUAAUUUUAUAUUUUAUACUAAUU